rnacentral:rRNA from 1 species
AAGUCGUAACAAGGUAACCGUAGGUGAACCUGCGGUUGGAUCAUUAAAAAAAUCCAAAUAGCCUGUCAGUGGCGCUCGCCGCUGAUUUCAUGGCACCACAUUUUGUGAACCGUUCUGUCUUUGGUGGUGGGGUGAAACGCCCUUCAUUCGGGCCUUUGCCUGUCAGCUGUGACUUACAACAAAGUCCUCCAGCCGUGGACAAGCCACCGACCUUGUGUUUCAACCUAUGUUUAUUUUUUUCUGUCUGACACUUCCACCUUGUAUUUUAAUGUACAAACAACUUUUGGCAACGGAUCUCUUGGGUCUCGCAACGAUGAAGAACGCAGCGAAAUGCGAUAAGUAGUGUGAAUUGCAGAGUUCAGUGAAUCAUCGAAUCUUUGAACGCACAUUGCGCUCCCUGGUAUUCCGGAGAGCACGCCCGUUCCAGAAUCAGUAAAAACCUCACUCCAGCUUGGGUGUUUUCGGACCCGAAGCGAGGGUGGAACCUGGAUUUUUGCUUUUGGCAAUCAUCUCAAAUCCAAUGUAUGUACGCCGAGGCUUGGUCUUUGCGUUGUCAAAGUGCAACAGAUUUUUGUCGCCGCUUGGACAAUGGAAGGAACGCCUCCUCGAUGGGCAUGCUUCUACCUUUCGACACGGUUUCCGGAUCGGUAUGAUCCGGUUUCCGAUAACUUGAUCUGGAAUCGGGCGGGAAAACCCGCUGAACUUA